AUUGAACGCUGGCGGCAGGCUUAACACAUGCAGGUCGAGCGAGCGGCGGACGGGUGAGUAAUGUCUGGGAAACUGCCUGUUGGAGGGGGAUAACUACUGGAAACGGUCGCUAAUACCGCAUACCAUCAUAUGUGCCCAGAUGGGAGUAGCUAGUAGGUGGGGUAAUGGCUCACCUAGGCGACGAUCCCUAGCUGGUCUGAGAGGAGGACCAGCCACAUUGGAACGGAGACACGGUCCAGACUCCUACGGGAGGCAGCAGUGGGGAAUAUUGCACAAGGGGCGCAAGCCUGAUGCAGCCAUGCCGCGUGUGUGAAGAAGGCCUUCGGGUUGUAAAGCACUUUCAGCGAGGAGGCGUUACUCGCAGAAGAAGCACCGGCUAACUCCGUGCCAGCCGCCGCGGUAAUUC
rnacentral:rRNA from 1 species